GGGGCCGAUCAGGAUUCGACGACGGUUACAAAGCUUGAGGGGCAUGCCGAGUUGGUAACAGAACUCGUAAAUCCACUGUUGCAAACUAAUAGUUGCCAACGACGACAACUACGCCCUAGCCGCUUAAGUCGGCUAGCAGCCUCUAGGGGAUGCCUGUAAACCCGAAGAUCUGGCUGUCAUAUAGAACAGGAUCGCCGCCAAGUUCGCUGUAGACGUAACGGCUAAAACUCAUACAGCUCGCUCCUAGCGCCCUGCCACUCGGGCCGCGACGAGUUAACUAAAUAGAGAUGGCUAAGCAUGUAGAACCGAUAGUGGCGGACUGGCGGACGGGGGUUCAAAUCCCCCCGGCUCCACCA
rnacentral:tmRNA from 1 species